CACGUAGGGGACGAGCGUUGUCCGGAUUCAUUGGGCGUAAAGCGCGCGUAGGCGGCUCGGAAAGUCGGGCGUGAAAUGCCGGGGCUCAACCCCGGGACUGCGUCCGAUACUUCCGAGCUGGAGGUAGGUAGGGGAGAUCGGAAUCCUGGUGAGCGGGUGAAAUGCGCAGAUAUCAAGGAGGAACACCGGUGGCGAAGGCGG
rnacentral:rRNA from 1 species